UACGUAGGUGGCAAGCGUUGUCCGGAUUUACUGGGCGUAAAGAGCGCGCAGGCGGUCGUUCAAGUCGCGUGUGAAAGCCCCCGGCUCAACUGGGGAGGGUCACGCGAUACUGAUCGACUCGAAGGCAGGAGAGGGAAGUGGAAUUCCCGGUGUAGUGGUGAAAUUCGUAGAUAUCGGGAGGAAUACCAGUGGCGAAGGCGGCGACCUGGGCCAAUACUGACGCUGAGGUGCGAAAGCGUGGGGAGCAAACAGG
rnacentral:rRNA from 1 species